UACGUAGGGAGCAAGCGUUGUCCGGAAUCAUUGGGCGUAAAGCGCGCGUAGGUGGCCUCAUAAGUCCGCUGUGAAAGUCAAAGGCUCAACCUUUGAAAGCCGGUGGAUACUGUGAGGCUAGAGUACGGAAGAGGCGAGUGGAAUUCCUGGUGUAGCGGUGGAAUGCGCAGAUAUCAGGAGGAACACCGAUGGCGAAGGCAGGUCUCUGGGCCGAUACUGACGCUGAGGAGCGAAAGCGUGGGGAGCGAACAGG
rnacentral:rRNA from 1 species